CAAUAGCGUAUAUUAAAGUUGUUGCAGUUAAAAAGCUCGUAGUUGGAUUUGUGGCGUACGGUGUGUUCCGGGCACUUGUUGUCUGAGUAACCUGCUGUUGCCAUCCUUGGGUGGAACCUGUGUGGCAUUAGGUUGUCGUGCAGGGGAUGCCCAUCAUUUACUGUGAAAAAAUUUGAGUGUUCAAAGCAGGCUUAUGCCGUUGAAUAUAUUAGCAUGGAAUAAUGAGAUAGGACUUUUUUGCUAUUUUGUUGGUUUGCGCAAAGAGGUAAUGAUUAAUAGGGACAGUUGGGGGUAUUCGUAUUCCAUUGUCAGAGGUGAAAUUCUUGGAUUUUUGGAGGACGAACUACUGCGAAAGCAUUUACCAAGGAUGUUUUCAUUAA
rnacentral:rRNA from 1 species